rnacentral:piRNA from 1 species
UCGUGGCAGAUGGAGCCUUGUGACCAAAU